rnacentral:rRNA from 1 species
AUGGAAACUAACCAGGAAAGCUACUCCUGGUAUCACGUCUGCACACGGAAGUAUUUAAGAGGUUCUUUUUGCCUCUCAAGCAACCCGCGGCGAACGUGCUUUUCGUCCAUGUCGUCUCGAUCCAUUGCCCGCCGCCGGCGGCGGCGCAGCAGCAGCAGAUCUCUGGUGGCGCGUGCCCCCCUGCCGGACAACGACGAUCUCCUCGAGGAGAUCCUUCUCCGUCUCCGGCCGUCCUCCCUGCCACGCGCCUCCGCAGUCUGCAAGCGGUGGCGGCGCCUCGCAGCCGACCCUAGGUUCCUCAACCGUUUCUGCGCGCACCACCGGAAGCCGCCGCUCCUUGGAUUCUUCGAGUGUCUCGAUAAGAUCGUGUUCACCCCUGCGCCUCCCUACCGCAUCCCUCCCGAGCGCUUCUCGCUUGAAAGCUGCAGGGGACACCGCAGCAAGGACGACGAGCUCGUUCGUGGCCAUGGCCGCGUCCUCGUCAAGGACCGGGUGCGGAAGGAGAUCAUCGUAUGGACCCCCAUGACCGGCAAGCAGCGAUGCUUGGCCGUUCCUCCAUUGUUCAAGAGGAGCUUCCUCAACGGGGCGGUGCUCUGCACCGACAAGGGCCACGUCCAUGGUGCUUGGUGUGCAAGUACCGAAAGGAAAAGAAGCUACUUGCCUUUGUUUACUCCUCGGAUACUGGUGUAUGGGGCGAUCUUAUUUCAAAUCUCAUAUCCGUGA